AGAGCACUAGCCUUGAGUGAAAGAACUCAGGGACAGCACCCAGGCUCUGAGUUCAAGCCCCACAACUGACCAAAAAAAAUAUGUUAUUUCACUGGAUCUUAUUUCACAAUUUCCUUGUAAGAUCUUCUAGUUUCUCUGCUAAAGAGUGGCUCACCUGUGCAUGUUCAGCAUAAACAAGAAGGAUCAUUAUCCCAACAGAUGAGGAGAUGAGGUGAAGUUCUCUUCACCAUGGGGAGUUUUUUCUUUUUCUUUUUCUUUUU